UUUGAGGGUGACUAUAUAUAGGCA
rnacentral:siRNA from 1 species